UUGAUGGUGCCCCACUACAUGGAUAACCGUGGUAAUUCUAGAGCUAAUACAUGCAGAAGGUCCCGACUCCUUGGAAGGGAUGUAUUUAUUAGAUCCAAAACCAAUGCCGAGGCUACGGCCUCGGGAAUCUGGUGAUUCAUGGUAACUGCUCGAAUCGCACGGCCUUGGCGCCGGCGAUGAUUCAUUCAAGUUUCUGCCCUAUCAACUUUCGAUGGUAGGGUAUUGGCCUACCAUGGUCGCAACGGGUGACGGAGAAUUAGGGUUCGAUUCCGGAGAGGGAGCCUGAGAAACGGCUACCACAUCCAAGGAAGGCAGCAGGCGCGCAAAUUACCCAAUCCCGACUCGGGGAGGUAGUGACAAUAAAUAACAAUGCCGGCCUCUUGAGUAGGCCGGCAAUUGGAAUGAGUACAAUCCAAACCCCUUAACGAGGAACAAUUGGAGGGCAAGUCUGGUGCCAGCAGCCGCGGUAAUUCCAGCUCCAAUAGCGUAUAUUAAAGUUGUUGCAGUUAAAAAGCUCGUAGUUGGAUUUCGGAGCCGACCGGGCGGUCUGUCGAGAGACACGCACUGCUCGGUGGCUCUUCCUCUCGGAGGCCCUGGCUGCCCUUGACUGGAGCGGGCAGGGGAUUCGGGACGUUUACUUUGAAAAAAUUAGAGUGUUCAAAGCAGGCCGGUGCUUGGAUACAUUAGCAUGGAAUAAUGGAAUAGGGCUUGGGUCCUAUUUUGUUGGUUUUCGGGACCGAGGUCAUGGUUAAGAGGGACAGUUGGGGGCAUUCGUAUUCAAUUGUCAGAGGUGAAAUUCUUGGAUUUAUGGAAGACGAACAACUGCGAAAGCAUUUGCCAAGGAUGUUUUCAUUAAUCAAGAACGAAAGUUGGGGGUUCGAAGACGAUCAGAUACCGUCGUAGUCCCAACCAUAAACUAUGCCGGCUAGGGAUCGGCGGAGGUCGCAAUCGCCUCCGUCGGCACCUUGAGAGAAAUCAGAGCCUUUGGGUUCCGGGGGGAGUAUGGUCGCAAGGCUGAAACUUAAAGGAAUUGACGGAAGGGCACCACCAGGAGUGGAGCCUGCGGCUUAAUUUGACUCAACACGGGGCAACUCACCAGGUCCGGACAUGGGAAGGAUUGACAGAUCGAGAGCUCUUUCUUGAUUCUAUGGGUGGUGGUGCAUGGCCGUUCUUAGUUGGUGGGGUGACUUGUCUGGUUAAUUCCGUUAACGAACGAGACCUUAACCUGCUAACUAGCCGCGCCGUUCCCGAACGGUGGUCCUGGCGGCUUCUUAGAGGGACAGUUGGCACGAGCCAGAGGAAGUUUGAGGCAAUAACAGGUCUGUGAUGCCCUUAGAUGUCCUGGGCCGCACGCGCGCUACACUGACGGAGCCAGCGAGCGUGUCCUUCGCCGAAAGG
rnacentral:rRNA from 1 species